AGCGAACGCUGGCGGCAGGCCUAACACAUGCAAGUCGAACGAAGUCUUCGGACUUAGUGGCGGACGGGUGAGUAACACGUGGGAACGUACCUUUUGGUUCGGAACAACUCAGGGAAACUUGAGCUAAUACCGGAUGAGCCCUUAGGGGGAAAGAUUUAUCGCCGAAAGAGCGGCCCGCGUUAGAUUAGCUAGUUGGUGAGGUAAAGGCUCACCAAGGCUACGAUCUAUAGCUGGUCUGAGAGGAUGAUCAGCCACACUGGGACUGAGACACGGCCCAGACUCCUACGGGAGGCAGCAGUGGGGAAUCUUGCGCAAUGGGCGAAAGCCUGACGCAGCCAUGCCGCGUGAAUGAUGAAGGUCUUAGGAUUGUAAAAUUCUUUUACCAGGGACGAUAAUGACGGUACCUGGAGAAAAAGCCCCGGCUAACUUCGUGCCAGCAGCAGCCGCGGUAA
rnacentral:rRNA from 1 species